GCUUGACUUCGUUAGAUCACCGAAGUCAAGCAUCAUUGGGCGCGGUCAGUACUUGGGUGGGUGACCACCUGGGAACACCGCGUGCCGUU